UAGGCAGUUUAUUUCACUUAUUAUAUUAUCCUGAUUCUACCAGCUUUAUUGAUUCUGCCAUGAUAUUAACUUCUGGUGUUUAUUUUGGGGUAACAUUUAACUGGUCCCGCAUUAUAUUUGAGACCAAGCCAAGUUUAUGUGUAUUGCUGAGAGCACCACUUUUUCAAUUCUAUAUCCUAUGUUUCACUAUCCUCUCUUCUCUUUAUGAGAUACUAUGUUGUGAUGAACAUUAGAUCAAUUGUAUCCUUUGCAAGAGGAUAGUGCUUCACUUCGCUUCACCCUUAUUGGCUUCC